AGCGCUCACUCCAGGCCGCAGACUCCGACCGGAACUGACAGCGCGGCCUCCAGGAUUGAAACUAUCCCUGGCUUGAAGUAGCCUAAGGAGAUUUGCUAGUUGGAGUCCUGGGAGAUGAGAUGGGGAAGAUGGGCUCAAGCUGCAACAUGAAGGUCCAUGAUGAGCAGCUGGCAUCUCCUACAGUGCCUUCCACUUGGUAAUGUUCAAUCCAGCCAAGGGAGCUAAGGUAAUGAACAAAACAGAGAAGUUCCUACCCUCCCUGACAUUCAUUCUAGCAAAUGGAGACAGAUGAUAAAAACUGCACAUCAUUGAGCAAGAGGGACACCAUGGAUAAUGGAAAGAUCUACGGCAAGGCUGGCUAUCUGCCCUGUCUAAGGAGGCCGUACUGGACCAUCCUGCUCUGCACAUCCAGAUGUGUCCACGAAUACAUCCAUAAAACGAUGGCCUGUGGAAUCCUAUAGGAAAAUGAUCCAGAGCCUGGGAGGUCAGAAGGAACAAACACUUGAUUUACAAAAUAAAUCUUCUAUAUUUAUGUUUUAAAGACACACAGAGGAAAAACAUUUUUAAAUUCAUGAUUUUUCCCCCCAGAUUUUAACUAUUGUAAUCUCUUUCUUUCCUGAGCCUUAGGCAUCUUCAUUAUAAACCAAAAGAUAUAACUUGA
rnacentral:lncRNA from 1 species